CCCUUAGAUGUUCUGGGCUGCACACGUGCUACACUGGCAGGUUCAGCGAGCUUCAUGCCCUGAUCUGAAAGGAAUGGGAAAUCUUUUCAAAACCUGCCGUGCUUGGGAUAGAUGUUUGCAAUUAUUCAUUUUCAACGAGGAUUGCCUUGUAAGCGCAUGUCAUCAGCAUGCAUUGAAUACGACCCUGUAUUCUGUACACACCGCCCGUCGCUCCUACCGAUUGAGUGAACCGAUGAGUAGUCCGGAUUGCGAUCGACCUCGGUUAAUCGCGAGAAGUUCCGCAAAUCACUUCACUUAGAGGAAGGAGAAGUCGUAACA
rnacentral:rRNA from 1 species